AAAAAAAAAAAAAAGGUUUUAAUGCUGUCUACUUGUAGUUCUUCAAAUCAACCACGACAACGCUGACGUUGUCGUAGCUCCGCCUAGCAAGGGCUAGUUUAGUCAAAAGCAUCGAUGCAUCAGAGCAACACUGGUCGGAAUUCACCUCGCCGUCGGUUCCAUUUCCCGGCAUUGACGCCGGCGAUGCAUUCCCUUUCAGGCACAUUCCGGCAACGCCACAUGCAGUGUCGUUUGAGACUACGUCCCAUAAUCCGUCACUUGCUAAAAUCAAACAGUCAUCCUCCGACGUUCGAUCAGUUAUCGUCACUUCUGGCUCGCAGAUCACAUACGGCUUCAAAUAAUUAUCACCAAUGGCUCUUGACAUAGCCAAAACGCCUGAAACACGAGGGCCGUCCCAGUAGAUUACUCUGCCACCAGCUUCCUGGAUGCGGUUAAGUUCAUCCGGACGAUCCGGUUUUUGAUCGUUAGAAAGGGGAAUAGCUUUGCCAUUCCGGCAAAGAAUAGCUCUGGAAUCACCACAAUUCGCGACAAUAAUCUUGUCCGGCGUAACAACGGCGACUACCGCCGUUGAACCAACGGCGUCACAUUCCGGCGUAUGAAGUUCGCAACGGCAUGUGGCUCCGGUUACGCUCUUGUUCCAUUCAAUCACUUCUUUCUCCAUUCGAUUGAAGCUUCG
rnacentral:misc_RNA from 1 species